CAAAUUUUUAAAGAUUUUGCGCGUUUAAGAAAAACGGGAGACGGAUACAUUGGUCGUCUUGUAAAUUACUUAAUAAAUUAAUUAAAAUACAUAAAAAAUAAUUAAUCAGCCACAGUGAUUUAACACCGUAGGAAUUUUACGGUGUUAAAAUAACGAGAAGUUAGUAUUAAUACGCGUAGCCAACGAUAAAUCGUAACAUCGAAUGUUACUGUAUACAAAUUUUCGAAAUAAACGAAAAUCGAAGAACAAUUCGCGAUUGAAAUAUUCCGCUUUCUGGAACGCCAUUUGGACGAAUCGAAACGAGUGGAAACGAAUCGAAACGAGUUGAAACGAAUCGAGUUAGGGCAACGUGCCACCGACUUCCGUUCAAGUCGUCGCACGAGAAGCAUCAGGUAAACACGCGUCGUCAGAAUAAUCGCAAGAAGAUGUUCGAUCGAAGGAUAACGCAGGAUGUUCUCGUGUCAUCAUAUCAAUUAUUGGUCAAAUUCGAUCUUCAUAAAGAUACAUGAAGCGAUAUUCGAAAAAAAAAGAGGCGAUUCGACACGAUGCUCGAAAAUGAUAGAAAGAUCGUCGUUGGAAGUAUAGCAAUAGCUAUCAUUUCGAUAUGUUGUCUGGCAUCAUUUUUGAGCUAAAACGACGAAAGGACAUAUACGUCAGACAACCAUGAAGAUAGAACACGGAGGUUCAUCCGAGCUUUGUUACUAGCUAGGAAGUAAGUAACACAAGAGGAAAUUAAAAGGCCGCGCCAGCAUUAAAAAUUAAACGUAGAAUUCAUUUUACAAAUGUUUUGUAACUGGAUUCGAGCUUGUUGCCAAAUGAGGAUAAUGGAAAUUGAUCGAUGAUCGAGAAACUAAAAACGUGACUUCGCUUAAGAAUCGAAAAUCUUAGCAAAGAUUAUCGAUUCUAACGAGUCCCUUUCGUUUUUCUCGACUUUUCGAUUAGUUUUCAUUCAUAGAUUCAUUUAAAUAUAAAUUAGAAUUUAAUCUCGCGAGGAAGAUACUUCUGACGAUGUCGCAAUUAUCGGAAUCGAUUUUUGUAUAAGAGUUUUGUUAAAGAUAUGUGUUCUCACCUUAGUUUCGCGUAAACCUUUUCUUGUAAGCUUAGAAAAUAGGUGAUAAAUGUAUAAUUUGUUUGUAAGGACCUGCGAAUUUAGAUAUAAUUAGGUAAAUAUAAUUAAAAUAAUUAUUACGUCAAAUUUGUCUUUUGAUGAAAAAUUUUGCAUACAUCUCGAAUUAAUUUUCAUAAAUUAUGCAUUAUUUGGAAUGAAAUAUGAACGCUGUAUAUUGUAAAGGUACCUAGGAACUGUGAUCACAUUAUGUUAAAUUUUGUAAUUUUAAAUUUGUAAUUUUAAACAAUCAAUUAUUCUAAUUGAUGUAAGUUGUAUUUCGGCGGGCAACCGUUUAGAUUUACCAACCACAUCUUAUGAUAUAAUUUCAUUGUUUAAAUAUAUACAAUUUCAAAUAAUUUGAAUAUAUUAACAGCAUAAUAAUUGUUCAAAUUUUAAUAAGCAGAAAAUUAAUCUUUCAUAUUUAAUUAAGAUAUACAACGUCUGUAUGUAUAGGUAGAAACAAAUAAUACCAAGGUUCCUUAAAUCACGAUUCUUUUUUACUAAGUUAAAUCGUGGUUCUUUUUUUAUACUUUUUGAAUCAUUGUUUUAUAUGUUUUUAUAAUUUGAUUGUUAGCAGACUCUUAACAUUAUUCGACUAUUAUCUAGUUCGACUUUUACGACUUUUACUCUUUGAACGUGAUUUUUGGUUAAUCCGAAACCAUUGUUUGGUUCUAUCCCCUUUUUAAGUUUCACCAAAUGUUUAUUCGCAUAUUGUAAACUUCAAAAAUAUCUUCCUUGUAUACAUUGUUGUACUCACCUUACGAAGAGGCAAAGUUCUUAUAACACUAUAGACUCCUUAAAAGAUUGUUAAAUAAUUGGUAGCACAAGUUGAAAUAUUAUAUAUAUAGAUAUAUGUGUGUGUCAUUCGUAUGAUUGGCUAACCUUUCUAUUUAUAUGUUAUAUUUCUAUGUUGAUAUAAUUUUUAUAUUGCAUCUAUAUUUAACAUUAUAAGAAAUACAUCCAAAUUCAACUGAAA